AAAGCUUUAAGUUAAAAAAACUAUUAACCUUCAAAGUUAAAAUUACAAGCAUUGAUGUAAGCUUUA
rnacentral:tRNA from 1 species